rnacentral:rRNA from 1 species
GACAGAGGAUGCAAGCGUUAUCCGGAAUGAUUGGGCGUAAAGCGUCUGUAGGUGGCUUUCUAAGUCUGCCGUUAAAUCCCAGAGCUUAACUCUGGUCAAGCGGUAGAAACUAGCAAGCUAGAGUACGGUAGGGCAGAGGGAAUUUCCGGUGGAGCGGUGAAAUGCGUAGAGAUCGGAAAGAACACCAAAGGCGAAGGCACUUUGCUGGACCGACACUGACACUCAGAGACGAGAGCUAGGGGAGCGAAAGUGGG